UUUUUGUUCGUCUUAGUAUUCUUUCCCUUCUUUACUGUUUAUUUUGGUAAAAAAAAAUUUGUGUGCCUUGGUAUUUAUACAUCCUGCCAUUGUAUUGUUGUUUAUUUUGGGGUAAGGAUUGCAUGAAAUGCAAUCAAAACCUUAUGGUACUUAAUUUCUGUCUAAAUCAUCCAAGGUUUAUCACUACUUUUGAGACACACAAAGUAUAGGGCAUUGAUCAUAACAUUAACCUAGUAUACAUCCUAUCCAUGAACAUUUCCAGAAAGUAGUAGGUCCGGUAAGGGCGGAUUUUGACCUUAAAUUUCAGAUUCAUCUGAUGAAAGAUUUUGGACUCUUUUUAAACAAUUAGGUAUCUACUUCACUCGAUUCAAUUAGUUAAUGUGAAAGAUGUAAACUGAUUUAACAAUGGCUUAGCUUACUGUCUAGAUCUGAGCAGAUUGUUAAACGGCCUUAAACAAUGAGCAAAAUUCAUACUGUAUAGUCUUCUUUAAAGACAAGACCAAACAACGGCCAAUUUGAAGAUUUUAAGACAAAUUUGUGAACGUAUUUUAACCAAUUUUAUAUGCUUUUUACACAAAUAUUCGCCUAUUUGAAAAUAAAAAAGAGAAAUGUUUCAGAAAAACAACGAG
rnacentral:lncRNA from 1 species